AAAAGUAAAAGUAUUGUUAAAGCCAACUGAAAUCCUUGAGCAAAUCAUAGUAGGCCUACAUGAUCUUCACUGAGACAAAACAACAAAAACUUGGUGGACCAUAAUAAAAAUCAAAAGUCACCGCUAAACAGUAAGAUGCGAUUCUGUAAUUGAAGGGAAGAAAUUAACAAGUGCACAACUUUGAUGGGCCGGUACCCAUUAUCGUGCAUAAGUAGAGAAGCAUCACAAACAAGGAUUGAAGAGGCAUUACUCAUAGGAAGCACAAUCCUAGGGAUACUGAAACUAUCUGCAAUCUUUUUCUUCCCGCACUUACCUUGCCAUUCCCGCAGCUUAUCCUUCAUCUGACGCCAUACUCAUUCACUUUAUUAUUGUUAAUGAUAUAUAAAUUUGUUUUUCAGACUUAAUUUUUUGCUCUCUACAGGUGCAACAAAUGAGAAACAGCUAGCUUUUAAUCCUCAGGUGGGUUUUGCUUCACAUGAGAAUUGGAAACGGAAAGACUUACAACAGAUGAAGAUGAAGAAACAACCAUUGUCCAGAACCAGUUGAUUGAUGUCUUGGAAAGGAUGGUAAAAUGCUUACUGCUCAACUUAAAGCACAGAGCACAAAUUUCCAGUUGGAUUGGGAGCAGCGGAAGGACCAUGCAUAAAACUUGGUUUCUGGGUACUUGCAUUUUGUAUCUUCAGAAUUUGGUUUUUUGAGCUGCAAAAUAACAAAUGAAGAAAAGGCGGCUUAAGUAAAGAAAUGGCAACCUUCCACCCGUCCCAAGUUCCUCAGCCUUCCUCCCAUCUGAACCCUUCCGUCGGCAACCAGCCAUCUCAACGACACAUACCCCCAAAAAACUUCUACGUCCGAAACCAGAAGCACCUUUCCCAAACCCGCAAUCUUCCAACCAUCUAUUUUGAGAAUUUCCCUCCAACAUCGGAUGCCAAGGGGCUCCACAAUGCUUUCUCCAAGUUUGGUGAUAUUGCUGGGAUUUUCAUACCAAAUAAACUAAGCAGAAGAGAAGGAAAUUUGGGUUUGUUCGCGUUCCAUCUAUGGCGCUUCUUUAGCAAACCAUGAAGGACAUAAAAAAUAUAUGGAUAGGCGGCUAUAAACUCCGGGCAUUCAUCUCAAGGUACACAAGGAAACAGCCGAUUUACGGAAACCAAAAUAAGCAGAACGUGCAAGUUUUUGAUAUUUGUCCACCAGUACCACAUCCCAACUCCUCUAAGGCCUACCUGCUGGUUGGAAGUUUUACAUCUGCACAAGAAAAUAUGGAUUGGCUAUCGCGUUCUGCUGUUGCUACAGCCCUUAAUGUCCAUACCAUUCAUCAUUUACAGCAUUACUUCGAAUCUGAAAAGGUUUUUACAGUUAAAGUUCUCCCACUAGGUGACAAAUCCGUUCUUUUAACUUUUGAAGACAAGGCAAUCAUGGAUCAGUUCCUUAGUGGUGAUCAAUCCUGGCUCAAGCAAUGGUUGAUGGACAUUGAACCUUGGGAAGCCAUCCACACUCCCACAAAGCGCCCUGUUUAUUUGAGAGUUUAUGGUGUCCCUCUGCAUUGUUGGAACCUUGAGUUUUUCCGACAAAUGGGGAAUCAAGUUGGGGAGUUUAUCUGUGUCGAUGGUCCUACACAGUGUAAGUCCAAGAUUACUAGUCUGUUCUAACUCUUUAGAUUUCAUUAAUAAAAAUAUUGCACUGGAUAUGGAUAAAAUUCGUUUUAACGUUGUA
rnacentral:misc_RNA from 1 species